rnacentral:lncRNA from 1 species
AUAUGCACAUACAUUAAAAAAAAACCCCAAACCGAAUAUAUUUUUUGAACCAGUGGUUUAUGAUGACAGCUUUUCCAUUUCCUUCAAAUAGUGUAUAUUGAAAUAAAAUAUUUCAAAGUCCACCUUUAUCUCAAUCCAAACCAGUGACCUUUGGCACUUCAUAAAAAUGGAUCAAGAACGAUUGUUUUUUCAGGGAAAAUGCACAGAUACUGUGCUCAAUGGCAAAGAGAGCAGGGUCUGGUCUUUGCUGUAAUUUUCUUGCAUUCUGAAAGAUUUAUUGCACAACUACAGAAUUUACAAAGACCUCUGAAGUAAGAUAGAUUAUAUAAUAUACCGAAUUGCAGAUUUACAAACCAGAGCCCUGAUUGUGAUGAUGUUUAACUAUAUGCUUAACUUAACACAAAGGAACAAUUAAUCUUGGAUUUUAAAGCAUAGAAUCACCUGCAAGACUGGGGUUUUUGUUUCCUGAACAUAUUAAAUAAGCUGUCAUCAUAAUAACUAUACAAAAAAAACCCAAAACAAAACACAAAAAAACCCCACAGCCAACCAAAACUGACAACAAACCCAAAACCUAAAACAAAAUACAAAACACUAUGGUCUUUUUUGCCAUAAAAUCAUAGUAGUUCGAGCAUUGGUGGCCAAACAUGAAUCACUAUGGAAUAUGACUUUAAUCCAACCAAAUAUUUUCAACAGAUUAUUCAAUAUCUGUUUAAACAGAUAUUGGAACUCUAAUACAUUUAGCUAGAUGCUGCUUUAGAUUUAUUUAAAUAUUUUACUGAAAGUCUAAAGUUUCAACUACAGUAAUAAAUAUAUAACAAAUGGUACACCAAAUUAAAGUUUAAAAAGCACAGAAACUAAAAUUUAAGGGUGACAUUCUGGAACAACACACUGCUAUUUGUUCGCAUUAUAACUUUUCCAUCCCCCUCGUUAAGGAAUGUGACAUUCAUCUAUAAACUUGAUCAAUAAGCUAUUAAGAAACAAACCAAAAACCACACAAAUAUAUAAUAAAAUAAAAUCAUCAUCAUAAUAAAAAAAAGCCCACCAGACCC